AUAACCGGCACUGGUUCCGAUGGCAAACAUGGCAUUGUUCUGUUGUGGAUAAUUGGUAUAAUCGCCAGGCACAUAGAGUCCAGCUCUACUUUCCUGCUCCUCCGGUAGUUCGCCAUAGUCGAUGAAAGAAGUAGUGCUUGAUUUUCGUCGCGGUGACGGUGUCGGGGGUUGCGUUCCCGCUCCGCCGCUCAGCGAAGAGCUUGGACCGGAGGGUGUAUAAUUGGAUCCCAAACCGCUGGUUGUCGACAUCGUGGAAGGGGUUGGCGUAGUCUGAGUUAUCAUGAUAUUCAACUCACGUCCUAAGAGUUCAAUUUCACGUGCGUCCAGUUCCUGCUCACGUUUGGCUAAAUCUUCCUCCUUGCAUCGCUGUUCACGCUGUACUCGGCUAAGUUCUUCUUCUUUGCUGCGUAAUUCCUGUUAAAAUGAACAGAGGACAUUGUUUGAUUACAAGAGCGAACUAAUCUACUGUAGAAUUUUUUUCUAGCGUAAUAGUGAAAAAUCUGUUAGCAUGAGCAAAUUAAAAAAAACUGUUCAAAUUUUGUUUCUUGACAUCUCGUUUGCUCGAGUAUUUUUAAGACACCCUUUUGUAACACACAUAAAUACCCCGAGUGAUUAUUUAACUGGAAAAAUACUACGCAAUAGUAAAUUGAAAAUUUAGGCAAACUGAUAUUUUUACUUGACAUCCAAAGAAACCUAAAACAUGACACAUGAUAGCACACAUUAUUUUGAUCAAACUACUACAAACUAUGCAAAGUGAUAAAGCACAGCGAUGUUUGUCCUUGAAGUUUUUUAUCAGAAUUACGAAAAUAAUUGAUUCCCGCAGGUAUUGAUAAAACAAUGUUACAUACGGUUUAUCGCAAGCUCAGAUUUUAUCAAACCCAUUAGAAAUCGGUACAACUAUCACUAGGCAGUUCAACACGUACGAAAAAAUAAAUGCAAGCUGGCGAGAAACCAGGCAAAAUAAAACCGAAAUGCAACCAAACGUUAACGCACGCUGUCAAUCAGAAAAAAAUCAUAUUAGGAUUCUUUUUUAGAUCUUACCUCUUCAAAAGACUUAAAUGCCUAUUAACAGUGAAAGGCGGCCAAAUGAUGAUGAAAAAGAACAGAAACAAUUAGGAUAAAUGAAAGGGAACAUCAGCGCGGAAGGGAGAGUCGAUAGAAUUAUGUAAACACAUUCAACGUUCUGCCCGAUUAGCUUCCUGCUGUACAGUAGCAAUAAACACCUACUAGAUAGUUUUUCUAUUA